AAACCAGCACCUUAAGUGGUCAGGAUGAUUAUUGGGCCUAAAGCAUCCGUAGCCGGCUCUGUAAGUUUUCGGUUAAAUCUGUACGCUCAACGUACAGGCUGCCGGGAAUACUGCAGAGCUAGGGAGUGGGAGAGGUAGACGGUACUCGGGAGGAAGGGGUAAAAUCCUUUGAUCUCUCGAUGACCACCUGUGGCGAAGGCGGUCUACCAGAACACGUUCGACGGUGAGGGAUGAAAGCUGGGGGAGCAAACCGGAUUAGAAACCCCAGUAGUCC
rnacentral:rRNA from 1 species